rnacentral:rRNA from 1 species
CACGUAGGGGGCAAGCGUUGUCCGGAUUUAUUGGGCGUAAAGAGCUCGUAGGCGGUUUCGUAAGUCGGAUGUGAAAACUCCAGGCUCAACUUGGAGACGCCAUUCGAUACUGCGAUGACUUGAGUCCGGUAGGGGAGUGUGGAAUUCCUGGUGUAGCGGUGAAAUGCGCAGAUAUCAGGAAGAACACCCGUGGCUAAGGCGGCUCUCUAGUACGGUACUGACGCUGAGACGCGAAAGCGUGGGGAGCGAACAGG